rnacentral:rRNA from 1 species
UACGUAGGGUCCGAGCGUUGUCCGGAAUUAUUGGGUUUAAAGGGUGCGUAGGCGGCUUUGUAAGUCAGUGGUGAAAUACGGUAGCUCAACUAUCGAGGUGCCAUUGAUACUGCGGAGCUUGAGUACAGAUGAGGUAGGCGGAAUUGACGGUGUAGCGGUGAAAUGCUUAGAUAUCGUCAAGAACACCUAUAGCGAAGGCAGCUUACUAGGCUGUAACUGACGCUGAGGCACGAAAGUGUGGGGAUCAAACAGG